CCUACGUGUGGCUGCAGUGAGGAAUAUUGGUCAAUGGGCUUACGCCUGAACCAGCCAAGUCGCGUGAGGGAAGACUGCCCUAUGGGUUGUAAACCUCUUUUGUCAGGGAGCAAUUGGCGCUACGUGUAGCGUUAUCGAGAGUAACUGAAGAAAAAGCAUCGGCUAACUCCGUGCCAGCAGCCGCGGUAAUACGGAGGACGCGAGCGUUAUCCGGUUUUAUUGGGUUUAAAGGGUGCGUAGGUGGAAUGCCAAGUCAGCGGUAAAAUCGCGGGGCUAAACCUCGCUCCGCCGUUGAGACUGGCGUUCUUGAGUGGGCGUGAAGUAUGCGGAAUGCGUGGUGUAGCGGUGAAAUGCGGAGAUAGCACGCAGAACGCCGAUUGCGAAGGCAGCAUACCGGCGCCCAACUGACACUGAAGCACGAAAGGGUGGGUAGCGAACAGGAUUAGAUACCCCAGUAGUG
rnacentral:rRNA from 1 species